UACGGAGGGAGCGAGCGUUGUUCGGAAUUACUGGGCGUAAAGCGUGCGCAGGCGGUUCGUUAUGUCUGAUGUGAAAGCCCCGGGCUCAACCUGGGAAUUGCAUUGGAAACUAGCGGGCUGGAGUGUGGCAGAGGGGGGUGGAAUUCCACGUGUAGCAGUGAAAUGCGUAGAGAUGUGGAGGAACACCGAUGGCGAAGGCAGCCCCCUGGGCUAACACUGACGCUCAUGCACGAAAGCGUGGGGAGCAAACAGG
rnacentral:rRNA from 1 species